AAUCGUUAACCAUUUAAUAGGCGUUGGCAUUCAUUCGUCAAGAGUGAAGAGUUGUUGCUUGAGCGCUUCUGUUUAAAAAAGCUAGAAAAAUAUCUGAAUUGUUCUUCCUUUUGAAGAUAUGGCAACACAGUUCUCUACUCAAACUGUCACGGUCACAACUCAACCUGGUGGUCUGCGAAAUUGGAACAGUAGUCUUUUCUCGUGUUUUGAUGACAUAAAGACCUGUCUUUGUGGAUGUUGUUGCAGUUGCUGUCUUGCAAUUCAAGUUGCCACACGUAUGGGAGAAAGCUGUUUGUUCCCGCUCUGCUGUCCAGGAGCUCUGCUGGCCAUGCGAGCUAAGUUGCGAGGAGAACAGAACAUCCAGGGUGAUUUGUGUAAUGAUGCGAUCGUUGUUGAAUGCUGUGGUCCAUGUGCUCUUUGUCAAAUGUCCAGAGAGUUGGAUAUCCUUGGCCGAUAAAGUCUUUGUUCCUUCCUGGCAUUUCUUUCGCAACUAUGCAUAUAUAAACAUGUUUUUCUCGCAAAGAACGUAUUUUUAAUUAGUGCCAAGUUUAUUUUGCAGUACACGGAUAUGAUGUCAUAUUAUGAGUACUACCUUUUUUGUAAGCAAUAAAUGUCUUUGCUAACUUACAAAGCGAUAUGGGGUAAUUGCAGGCCUGGGUGAUCCUAAGUGUUAUAAUUGUUAUUUGGUAUGUUGCUCAUCACGAGAUUCUUUGCGAAAAUUCUCUUCCAAAUUGACUUGGUUGUGAUUUGUAUUCGUUGUAGGAACAUUUUUAUUCCUACUUGUUCUGAAUCAGACCUGGUUUGUACAUCUUGUUUAGUAGCUGCCUUUAAAACAAGGAAUGAGAAAAGCCAGAAUCUGUCGGUAAAACGGCUAAUAGAAUUACGGCUUUUUCAUUUCUUGUUUUUUUGCUUGUUAGCGUGGGUUAUACGACAUAGUCUUCAACAUUAUUUUUUGGUAGUAUGAUCCUUGAUCCGUGGUAACAAACUGAUAUAACCAAGGAACAGCGUGGCACUGGGAACAACUGAAAUUAUGCAGCCUCCUGGACUCUGAUUGGGGCAUCAUUCUGGGCGCCAAAAAUAAACUAUAUGAAUAAACCCAACGGUCCCAACUGAAGAUACUGCUGGUUAUUGCUGGUAAAAUAUUUUUCCAAUUCACAGAGAAUUUAUGCAAAAAAAUGACUGGAACGAAAAUUACAGACGGAGACCGAAAGAGAAUUGACUCGAAGUUCAUCUGCGUUAUUUGUCAUUUCCUGUUGUUUGAACCAGUGCAGACCAUCUGUGGUCAUCUCAUGUGUCUGUCGUGUUUUGAAACCUUGCUUGGGAGUUCAACUCCAAGAUGUCCUGAAGAUGGUGAGGAGUUAAGUAAAGAAAAAGCAUUUUCUGAUGCUUUCACAAAACGUGAGCUUAAUGGUCUUGAAAUACAUUGUGCAAAUCUCGAUUGUACGUGGAAUUCUAGCUACGAUAAACUAGUGAGCCAUUCUCAGGUCUGCGAACAUGCAAUUAUACAGUGUGUCCAUUCCCAGUGCAAGAAUAAAAUCAAACGCUCUCACUUGGGUGAACAUUUGAAGAAGGAAUGUGAAUAUCGGAGUGCUAGCUGUCAAUAUUGUCGUAAAGAUGUUGCAUUUGCCUCGAUGAAGGAACACGUCGCUACGAGCUGUGAAGCUGCACCUG
rnacentral:misc_RNA from 1 species